GGUCAAGUGAAGAAGCGCAUACGGUGGAUGCCUUGGCAGUCAGAGGCGAUGAAAGACGUGGUAGCCUGCGAAAAGCUUCGGGGAGUCGGCAAACAGACUGUGAUCCGGAGAUGUCUGAAUGGGGGAACCCAGCCAUCACAAGAUGGUUAUCUUGUACUGAAUACAUAGGUGCAAGAGGCGAACCAGGGGAACUGAAACAUCUAAGUACCCUGAGGAAUAGAAAUCAACCGAGAUUCCCUUAGUAGUGGCGAGCGAACGGGGACCAGCCCUUAAGUUGGUUUGAGAUUAGUGGAACGCUCUGGAAAGUGCGGCCGUAGUGGGUGAUAGCCCUGUACACGAAAAUCUCUUAUCAAUGAAAUCGAGUAGGACGGGGCACGAGAAACCUUGUCUGAACAUGGGGGGACCAUCCUCCAAGGCUAAAUACUACUGACUGACCGAUAGUGAACCAGUACCGUGAGGGAAAGGCGAAAAGAACCCCGGAGAGGGGAGUGAAAUAGAUCCUGAAACCGUAUGCGUACAAGCAGUGGGAGCCCACUUUGUUGGGUGACUGCGUACCUUUUGUAUAAUGGGUCAGCGACUUAUAUUCAGUGGCGAGCUUAACCGAAUAGGGGAGGCGUAGCGAAAGCGAGUCUUAAUAGGGCGACAGUCGCUGGGUAUAGACCCGAAACCGGGCGAUCUAUCCAUGGGCAGGUUGAAGGUUAGGUAACACUGACUGGAGGACCGAACCGACUACCGUUGAAAAGUUAGCGGAUGACCUGUGGAUCGGAGUGAAAGGCUAAUCAAGCUCGGAGAUAGCUGGUUCUCCUCGAAAGCUAUUUAGGUAGCGCCUCAUGUAUCACUGUAGGGGGUAGAGCACUGUUUCGGCUAGGGGGUCAUCCCGACUUACCAAACCGAUGCAAACUCCGAAUACCUACAAGUGCCGAGCAUGGGAGACACACGGCGGGUGCUAACGUCCGUCGUGAAAAGGGAAACAACCCAGACCGUCAGCUAAGGUCCCAAAAUCCUGGUUAAGUGGGAAACGAUGUGGGAAGGCUUAGACAGCUAGGAGGUUGGCUUAGAAGCAGCCACCCUUUAAAGAAAGCGUAAUAGCUCACUAGUCGAGUCGGCCUGCGCGGAAGAUGUAACGGGGCUCAAACCAGGUACCGAAGCUACGGGUAUCAUCUUUUGAUGAUGCGGUAGAGGAGCGUUCUGUAAGCCUGUGAAGGUGAGUUGAGAAGCUUGCUGGAGGUAUCAGAAGUGCGAAUGCUGACAUGAGUAACGACAAUGGGAGUGAAAAACUCCCACGCCGAAAGACCAAGGUUUCCUGCGCAACGUUAAUCGACGCAGGGUUAGUCGGUCCCUAAGGCGAGGCUGAAAAGCGUAGUCGAUGGAAAACAGGUUAAUAUUCCUGUACUUCUUGUUACUGCGAUGGAGGGACGGAGAAGGCUAGGCCAGCCUGGCGUUGGUUGUCCAGGUUUAAGGUGGUAGGCUGGGAUCUUAGGUAAAUCCGGGAUCCCAAGGCCGAGAGCUGAUGACGAGUGUUCUUUCAGAACAUGAAGUGGUUGAUGCCAUGCUUCCAGGAAAAGCUCCUAAGCUUCAGGUAACAAGGAACCGUACCCCAAACCGACACAGGUGGUUGGGUAGAGAAUACCAAGGCGCUUGAGAGAACUCGGGUGAAGGAACUAGGCAAAAUGGCACCGUAACUUCGGGAGAAGGUGCGCCGGUGAGGGUGAAGGACUUGCUCCGUAAGCUCAUGCCGGUCGAAGAUACCAGGCCGCUGCGACUGUUUAUUAAAAACACAGCACUCUGCAAACACGAAAGUGGACGUAUAGGGUGUGACGCCUGCCCGGUGCCGGAAGGUUAAUUGAUGGGGUUAGCGCAAGCGAAGCUCUUGAUCGAAGCCCCGGUAAACGGCGGCCGUAACUAUAACGGUCCUAAGGUAGCGAAAUUCCUUGUCGGGUAAGUUCCGACCUGCACGAAUGGCGUAACGAUGGCGGCGCUGUCUCCACCCGAGACUCAGUGAAAUUGAAAUCGCUGUGAAGAUGCAGUGUAUCCGCGGCUAGACGGAAAGACCCCGUGAACCUUUACUAUAGCUUUGCACUGGACUUUGAAUUUGCUUGUGUAGGAUAGGUGGGAGGCUUUGAAG
rnacentral:rRNA from 1 species